GUCGAACGGUAGAGGGGGCAACCCCUCGAGAGUGGCGAACGGGUGAGUAAUAUAUCGGAACGUGCCCAGUCGUGGGGGAUAACGUAGCGAAAGUUACGCUAAUACCGCAUACGAUCUACGGAUGAAAGCGGGGGAUCGCAAGACCUCGCGCGAUUGGAGCGGCCGAUAUCAGAUUAGGUAGUUGGUGGGGUAAAGGCUCACCAAGCCAACGAUCUGUAGCUGGUCUGAGAGGACGACCAGCCACACUGGAACUGAGACACGGUCCAGACUCCUACGGGAGGCAGCAGUGGGGAAUUUUGGACAAUGGACGCAAGUCUGAUCCAGCCAUUCCGCGUGCAGGAUGAAGGCCCUCGGGUUGUAAAUUGCUUUUGUACGGAACGAAAAGGUUUCUAUUAAUACUAGGAGCUCAUGACGGUACCGUAAGAAUAAGCACCGGCUAACUACGUGCCAGCAGCCGCGGUAAUACGUAGGGUGCAAGCGUUAAUCGGAAUUACUGGGCGUAAAGCGUGCGCAGGCGGUUAUGUAAGACAGAGGUGAAAUCCCCGGGCUCAACCUGGGAACUGCCUUUGUGACUGCAUAGCUAGAGUACGGUAGAGGGGGAUGGAAUUCCGCGUGUAGCAGUGAAAUGCGUAGAUAUGCGGAGGAACACCGAUGGCGAAGGCAAUCCCCUGGACCUGUACUGACGCUCAUGCACGAAAGCGUGGGGAGCAAACAGGAUUAGAUACCCUGGUAGUCCACGCCCUAAACGAU
rnacentral:rRNA from 1 species